ensembl:snoRNA SNORD15 Small nucleolar RNA SNORD15
CUUCAGUGAUGAUACGAUGACGAGUCGGAUCGAGGCCCGUCUCUGAGGAUUCUGGGUCAGGCUCACGUUCUGUGCGUCUGACUUCAGUUCCUCAGAGAUCGUGUCCUCUUCGAGUGAAGAUCUAGAGGCAUUUGUCUGAGAAGG